GGCGGCAUAGCUUAGUUGGCGAGAGCGGCAGACUGAAGCUUCCUGAAGUAUAGUUAAUCUGUAGGUCCCGUGUUCAAAUCAUGGUGUUGCCA